rnacentral:rRNA from 1 species
GACGAACGCUGGCGGCGUGCCUAAUACAUGCAAGUCGAGCGCAGGAAGUCGACGGAACCCUUCGGGGGGAAGUCGACGGAAUGAGCGGCGGACGGGUGAGUAACACGUAAAGAACCUGCCCUCAGGUCUGGGAUAACCACGAGAAAUCGGGGCUAAUACCGGAUGGGUCAUCGGACCGCAUGGUCCGAGGAUGAAAGGCGCUCCGGCGUCGCCUGGGGAUGGCUUUGCGGUGCAUUAGCUAGUUGGUGGGGUAAUGGCCCACCAAGGCGACGAGGCAUAGCCGACCUGAGAGGGUGAUCGGCCACACUGGGACUGAGACACGGCCCAGACUCCUACGGGAGGCAGCAGUAGGGAAUCUUCCACAAUGGACGAAAGUCUGAUGGAGCAACGCCGCGUGAACGAUGAAGGCCUUCGGGUCGUAAAGUUCUGUUGUAAGGGAAGAACAAGUGCCGCAGGCAAUGGCGGCACCUUGACGGUACCUUGCGAGAAAGCCACGGCUAACUACGUGCCAGCCGCCGCGGUAACAC